GAUUAUUGAAAAGUUAAUCUACUGUAGGCAUAUUUUCAGGUGCAUAUGUUUGUUUGUUUAGAGAAAAGUGAGGACUGUCAUCGCAGCUAUGUUGACAGAGAUGGUCAUGCGUGCAGUAUCAGAGACCAUUCGACUGGAUUGGACCAAGGGCGGACUUUAUUCCUGGCAUUGAUUAAUGAAAAUCCUGUUUGUGCCACUGGCCUGAUCUUCAGAAAUCCUUACGAUGAAGUUACAGUAAAGAAAACCUGCAGAAAAUGGUGAAUUGCUAAAUUUUACUUCUCUCACUCACAGGUGUACUCGAAGGUGUCUGGAGAACCAGCUUUGAAGGUUCCAACAGUACAUGCCAGCUCCAGGAUCUUUAUGGAAAUAGAAUAUGAUUAUAGCUCUACUUUCUACUCUCUCCAACUGGUUUAAUGCUUUCUAAAGUUUUGUUCUCUCCAUGUGUACUAUCACAUAUCAUAGAACUGAGGAAGAAAGCACAAAGACAAGAAAAAAGUUCAUGUGUACGCUAAUCAUAGAACUAAGCAAGUAUGUUCUAGUGGAUGAGGGCCUUCGCUUGAAAUUUGCACCCUCUUAGUAAGGGAAUUAAAACGCUUACCAAUGGAAAAUAACCUUCUUUUGACUGACCCUGAUUUUUGAUUUUUCGAGGAGGGCCAACGGUGACUUAGAGCAGGAAAAUAUUUGCACUAAGAGAAGGGUUGAGGUAAACUGGGACGAGGGUAUGGACUGAUGCGGCAAAUGUGAUGUUAAGGGUAACUCCACUAUCAAUUGGCUUCCGAAUGGCUCAUUGAACUAAAAAAAGUAUGUACGUCCACGUACUGCAGAAGUUCUCACGGUGUUCAUAGGUACAGGAGGAGGGACUAGUGUAAAGUUGGCAACAGCCCGUCCAGUGUUGUGCCAUUGACAUCAGAGACUAUUGAUCAGGUUGUACUUGAUGGAAAUAAAGACUUGUGAACUUGUAUGCACUAUGGUGUGGUCAUUGCAAAAAUCUUGCUCAACCUUUCGAAGGUAUCCAAUGCUUUAAACUGGAAGAGGAUGUUGUAAUAGCUAACCUUGAUGCGGAUAAUUACAAGAAUUUGGCUAAGAAGUUAUUUGGAAAGGCACAAGUCAUAGUUGCGGAACCUAGAGUUUGUUUACGAUUAUAUUGAAUUAUGUCGAUCAUUAUAUAUGGACAGCAAAGCUGGUGAAGACUAUGAUAGCGGUCGAGCCGUCGAGAUGUAAAUAACUUGUUAUUUUCGUUAAUGAAAGACGUGGCACUAGUCAGGCUUUAGUGAAGGAAUUUACCAGUGCUGUUGAUGAUGAGAGGAAGGCAGUCCUUGCUUGAAUUGGAGAGGAGGAGGAGAAACUCUUUAAGGGUUUCUUCAGCAAGAAGUUUAUCCACUUGCGGAAAAAUUGGUUGAACAGCUGGCAAAUUCCAGUUGCUAGACAGACUCUUAACCUUGCUACAUGUGCAGAAGCCUAAAGUUCUCAUUCUCUCAAUGGACUAAAGUCUUGAUAGUAAUUGAACAUUACAUUGGAAGAAGGUUAUUGAAACUUUUUGAUUGAUGAUAGUGUUAAAACUGGACGAAAGAAGAGGCAGGGGCGUGCACUUAAUAUUCCAACUAAGGCUUGAGCAGUUGGGAAAAUUAUCACACGGAUCACAAAAGGUAUUAGUUUCAACUGUGUAAGUGUCCUUUCUUAUACUUAGACCAACCUUUUUCUCCCUUCCUCAAAUUAUGUAGGUUAUUUGUUACACACUUGGUGAAAUAGUAGACAAAAGUCACGUACGAUGCUAUAUAAAGAUAUGAAUGUAAAGAGAAAUCCGAAAUACGUAGGGUGUAGUAAGGUUAUUUGCUACUUAUAUGUUUAUUUGCUUUGUUGAUUUUAAGUUACAUACAUUGACAUCA